rnacentral:rRNA from 1 species
GUCUACUAGUUGUCGGGUUUUAAUUAACUUGGUAACGCAGCUAACGCGUGAAGUAGACCGCCUGGGGAGUACGGUCGCAAGAUUAAAACUCAAAGGAAUUGACGGGGACCCGCACAAGCGGUGGAUGAUGUGGAUUAAUUCGAUGCAACGCGAAAAACCUUACCUACCCUUGACAUGUACGGAAGCCACGAGAGAUCGAGGUGUGCUCGAAAGAGAACCGUAACACAGGUGCUGCAUGGCUGUCGUCAGCUCGUGUCGUGAGAUGUUGGGUUAAGUCCCGCAACGAGCGCAACCCUUGUCAUUAGUUGCUACGCAAGAGCACUCUAAUGAGACUGCCGGUGACAAACCGGAGGAAGGUGGGGAUGACGUCAAGUCCUCAUGGCCCUUAUGGGUAGGGCUUCACACGUCAUACAAUGGUACAUACAGAGGGCCGCCAACCCGCGAGGGGGAGCUAAUCCCAGAAAGUGUAUCGUAGUCCGGAUCGCAGUCUGCAACUCGACUGCGUGAAGUUGGAAUCGCUAGUAAUCGCGGAUCAGCAUGUCGCGGUGAAUACGUUCCCGGGUCUUGUACACACCGCCCGUCACACCAUGGGAGCGGGUUUUACCAGAAGUAGGUAGCUUAACCGCAAGGAGGGCGCUUACCACGGUAGGAUUCGUGACUGGGGGUGAAGUCGUAACAAGGUAGCCGUAUCGGAAGGUGC